GGUGAAAAAGGAAAUGAUAAAAUAAAUACUCGCGGAUCUUCACAGAUGAUGAAUGUCAAAGAAUAUGUUAUUAAUGUAACCCGAUCCAUCGUAUAAGAAAUAUUUUCAACAAGAUUAUUGUUUGAGAAAAUAAAGGUCGAGUGUUGAAAAUAAAAGCUUAAAAGAUAAAUUGAUCCAAAAAUCUUUGGCAUCAUCUUCAAGUAUCCCAUUGUCCAUGUGCCAACUUUUGGCAUGACAAUAAACCGGCUUCAAAUAGAUUUCGCUUUCUCAAAGUCUCACCUAUGAGUAGUAGCAAAUUUAGAAAUGAACCUCAACUAGAGCAAUUAAUGAUCGUUGAUCAUUGCCCAUCAACAGUUAAUGAUCACAUAUAGAAAAAAGGUUAAUGAACCUCACAAAUAACAAAAUUUUCAAGUUAUCAUUUAUUACAAAUCACAGUCCACGGUAUCAUAUAUUCACAAAUUUUCCAAUUUUCAUAAAUUAUAAACCUCGCCAGCAGGUAGCAAGCUCACAUCCAUAAUUCACAAAACAUAGCCCCGUUUGGUUCCCAUUACAUUUCACUUUUCUCUCUUUUAUUUUUAACCACACAAUCUUCCAUAAAAUAAUAUUACACGUAAAUCGAAAUUUUUACUUCUUUUUUUAAAAAAAUAAUGUUCCACCCAUUUUUACUUUGAAAAUGGAAGCCGAACGGGAGCAUAAAUUAUAAAUCAUUCCCCAAUAAAAAUAGCAUCCAAAAAUUAACUUUAAAAAAAAAGCCAAAAAAAGGAGGCUUAAUGAUUCACACAACGAUGAUAGAUAGUGGUGUCAAGGGCUUUGGCCCUGUCCGCCGAGGGCGCCAAUUAUCCGUAAUUAUCCGUGGCGUCAAUGACUCAAUGACAACAACUCACAAUCUACACACCACUGGCCUAGAUUUGUCCAUCUAAGUUCUAACAUUAACCAUUAAAAAAAAAUAAAAUUGUAAAGGUAGUGGUACUGUGUACAAAUGUUAAAACUAAUAAAAAUUAAGAUGAAUUCCCAUAAAAUGACUGAUCAAGAAAAAAAGCCCAAUCACUCAGAAGGUUGAAGGCUCGACGACGGAGUCAGGGCAGACGGUUGCACAACGGAAGAGAAAUAUUGCAUAAAGGGUUUGGUUUGUGCUUUUCACCUUUGUCUAUCUUCUGCAAAAUUCAUUUUGUCGUAUGGUAUGGAGACUAGGAUACAAUAUGAAGCAAUCGUAGAUAAAUUAAUGGGCCAAUUUUUUUAAAUAAAAAGCCCAAAACAAAAUGCUCAAGUUCAAACUUAUCUCUUUUUCCUCCUUCCAUAAUCCAUUAGGCUUCUAACUUCUCGAUGGCAAUUGCAAGUCUGCAACAAUGGCGGCAUCCAACCUGUAAAUUAUGACGGAGCUAGCACGGACGAACGCGCCACCUCGCUGCCAGUGUCUACGAGUUUGAAAGUCUUCUUUACAAGUUUUCCGAUAGAGGGCAGUGGUCCUGUAGAUCUUGAAAACCCAAUCAAAAUAAUAAAUUAUAGUGCUGGGCCAAUCCUUAGAUUUUAGGAGCCUUAUCCUAAAUUCAAAUAUGGGGCCUUAUAAAUAUAUAAAUAAUAAUUUUAGUUGAAUAAAAAUAUUCAAAAUUAUAAAAAUAAUAAUCUAAACUUUCAAAUGUCUAAAUUAAAUUUACUCUUCUAAAUUUUUU
rnacentral:lncRNA from 1 species